AUUUAAAUAGCUUAAGAUAGAGUAUAACAUUGAAGAUGUUAGGGUAAUAUAAUUAUUUUUAAAUA
rnacentral:tRNA from 1 species